UACACCUGUUCCCAUGCCGAACACAGAAGUUAAGCUUCUUAGCGCCGAUAGUAGUUGGGGGUUUCCCCCUGUGAGGAUAGGACGUCGCC
rnacentral:rRNA from 1 species